GAGUUUGAUCCUGGCUCAGGAUGAACGCUGGCGGCGUGCCUAAUACAUGCAAGUCGAACGCGCAGCGAGAGGUGCUUGCACCUUUCAAGCGAGUGGCGAACGGGUGAGUAACACGUGGAUAACCUGCCUCAAGGCUGGGGAUAACAUUUGGAAACAGAUGCUAAUACCGAAUAAAACUUAGUAUCGCAUGAUAUAAAGUUAAAAGGCGCUACGGCGUCACCUAGAGAUGGAUCCGCGGUGCAUUAGUUAGUUGGUGGGGUAAAGGCUUACCAAGACAAUGAUGCAUAGCCGAGUUGAGAGACUGAUCGGCCACAUUGGGACUGAGACACGGCCCAAACUCCUACGGGAGGCUGCAGUAGGGAAUCUUCCACAAUGGGCGCAAGCCUGAUGGAGCAACGCCGCGUGUGUGAUGAAGGCUUUCGGGUCGUAAAGCACUGUUGUAUGGGAAGAAAUGCUAAAAUAGGGAAUGAUUUUAGUUUGACGGUACCAUACCAGAAAGGGACGGCUAAAUACGUGCCAGCAGCCGCGGUAAU
rnacentral:rRNA from 1 species